CCGAUGAUGGUAGAGGCAAUGCAUCGGAACUAUUAGAUUGGUUAGAAUCAUCUUCAUUGUUCCCGUGCUCCAUUCCUAAUUUCUUCGAGGCCAUCUUGUCUACUUGCAUCUCUGUGUGGUAUACUAUUGAGCUUAAAACCCUUUUAUACAGAGGAAAAAAACGGAACUCGCGUAAAAUUAAAGGGAAACACGUCAAAGCUCGUUCCCCAUUGGUCACCUCAUCCCCAAAUAAAGAAGAUUUCAAAAUUGGAAAAAGUGAUACAUUAUUUUAAUUUGAAACAUAAAAGUUAAUGUUAUUGUACCAAAUCUCACUCAACAUUUGUUACUAUGCUUUGAACUCUGAAUAUUAAAUUUUAAAAUUUUAAAAAAACUAAGUUGAUUAAGGCAAAGUCGCACAAAACGGACAUCUCGUUAAUUUUAUUUUUUCUGGAUGCAGUCAAGGUAGUCAAGGAAAUAACGCUAAAACAACGUACUACUCAAUAAGGAAAGGAACUGCCAUUUAUUUAAAAAUAAAGGAAUAAAAUGAUAAUCUAUUUCUACAUUGACAAAUUAACAAAUUCAAUAAUAUUUUUACCCGAAAAAUAUAAUAUUUAAAUGUAAAAUUACAUUAAGGUGCUUUCUGCAAAGAAUCCGUAACACUAAUUAUAUUGUAAUAGGCUAACUAUGCAGGAUACUCAGAUAUGAGACACAACAUGGAUACAAUACAAAACCUUCAAGAGGACAUGGAAAAUUCUGAACAGGAAAGGAUGCUACAGAGUUAAGUAUAAUAGUAAAAUGGAAGAAAAAAUCGUAAAAGAUUAACACACAAGUGUGGCUCAUAUAGAUCCUAAUACUUCCACCUGCAUUUGAAUAUAAAUUGAUAUGCUCUCGUUUUCAUUCCUAAGCAUAAAUAUUAAAAGUUAGAAUGAUAGCUCAAAAAAAAAAUUGAAAGAUUGUAGUAUGUAGAAUAGCACGAUUCAAUUGAUGAAUAAGAAGUGUCCAUAAUGGCACAUAUCUAACACCAGUACAGCAACUACUUUGUAAUCAUCCAAUCUUCUUGUUGGACUAUUUUCUCCUCUUAUGCAUCCCUAGUAAAGCAAUUAUAUGUAAGUAUGAUUUUGUGUUUUUCUACACAUUAACAAAUGGAAUUAAAGGUACCCAAACCAGAGAGGUUUGACUUACAUGCUAGAGGUGUGCACCUUCAUGAAGCAUCUUUUCUUUAGGCAGCAAGAGGACAUGGCAAUUUCUGAAAAGGAAAGGAUGCAACACAGUUAUUUGGUAACACAAAAACACAAAACAUAAAGAUUAACAUACAUGUGUUUGAACAUACAUUGUUGUGUAUUCAUUGCUUGUUCCUGGCAUAAAUCUUAAAAGUUGGAAUGAUAGUUCCAAAACAAUGGUGAAAGAUUGUAGUAUGCAGGCCAGAAGCAUUCAAUUGGCCAAUGAAGAGUAUCCAGCACGAUUUUGUGCUUUUUUGUAAACAGUAAUAAAUAGAGUUAAAAAAAAGCCUUACCUAAACAAGAAAGGCCAGACUAACAUGCUGGUGUGAACCUUGUUGAAGCAACUUUCCUUUAGUCAGCAACACAGCAAGAAGCAACUUUGCUUUAAAUGAUUUUUAGUCUGUACAAUAUACACCAAUUUUGAAUUUAGCCCUUAUAACAAUUUCUUACUAGUUUUAAUCCUUUAAACAUAAGAAAAGCUGUUUUUGGUCCUUGUUGUUUUGGAUUUAGUCACUAUAUUGUCCAUAUCAUAUCAGAUUUAAUCAUUGUAAAAUGUGAACUAUAUUGAUUUAUGUCCUUGGAAUAAGGACAAUAUAGAGAGUUACAAACAUAGAUAAAUAUUUUCUUUUUUGGUACAUAAACAUAGAUAAAUCUUACAAGAGCUAAAACAAACAAAAAAGGACCAAAAGCAAAUUUUCAAUGUUUCAAGACAAUCUUGUUAUGGACUAAACUAGAAAAGGUGUAUAUCACAGGGACCAAAAUUUCAUUUAAGCCGUUUUCAUUUGACAACAUGUAACCUUAUGCUUACUAAAAGUUGAUUUUCACAAUCACAAGUGAUUUUCCAAAAAAUUUGCAACCAUCAUAAGUGAAUAUUGGUCUUAAUUAUUUCUUGAAUCUAACCCAAAACACACAUUCCUCAACCCCCUCGUAUCAAAAUUAACAAUGCCAGAACUAGCGAUGCAUGCUUCUAGCUUGGCAAUUCUAUCCUUUAAAUUUAUGAAUGAAACAAAAAAAAAAAUUGAAACCCAAACACACAAAGAACUUUAGAUUUCUGAUCUGUUUUUUUUUAACAAGCAGAUUUCUGAUCUUUAAUUACAGGAAUGAAAUGACAUGGAGAUGAGGGUGAAUAAACAAAUGUAAAAAGGACAAAAUUUUUUUUUGAAAACUUGGUAUCCGGCCUUAGGACCGACUAAUCCAAGGGGACCAAUCUCACCGCCCACUUGCGAGGGCCCCAUUUAAAGCCAGGGUUUUUUUUUGCUCUGUAUGGACUUAGCCCACCGAAAUUGGCACCAGUGAGAAUCGAACCUGAGACCUUGAGAGGAGCAUACUCCAAGGGCCCAAGCCAACACCACUCGACCAACCCCAAGUGGGUUAAAAAGGACAAAAUUGACACUCAACAUAAGCACUUGAUACGUCUAAUGUUCUUAUCAAUGAAUUAACCACAAAUUUAACAAGAAAGCAAAAAAUCUAACAAGGCUAUAAUGCAGCUUAUAGCAACAAAACCCUAAAAAUUAGGUUUUCUCUAUCCCCUAAUUGCUAAUCUGAAGCUACAAUUUGGAAAUUUUCUCACUUGAACAACCAACUUACAAAAGUGGAGGAUCAACUUAGAAAUUUAUGCACAGAGAGUAAACUUAAUGAAACCAUAAAAAAUUAUCUAACCAUUCUUUCUAAGCAAUAAACUUUGUUACUAUAAAAUUUUCGUGCAACCAACCAAGCAACAUAGAACUUAAUCCAAUGUAAAAAAGAUUAUAACUUUAAGAAUCAUAGGUUAUUAUAACAAAAAGGGUUGUUGCUGUUAGUGAUAACUGAGUUUUGAUUCAUUGAGGACUUUUCACAAACACAUUAAUGCAUAAACGAAAUUCUAGAGAAGUUGAAGUUUAGCUUAGUAAAAGGAGAAGGAAAAUCUCAUCUUUGAGUUGAAUCAAGAACUGGUUGAAUCUUGGGACAUGGUGGUGGAGACAAAAUCACAAUGAAUGAUGAUGUUAGUGUUCCGUCCUUGGUAUUGCUCUUUUCGGUGGUGUUUUGUUUCCGUUUAUUUCCCACGUUAGGAAAAAUAUACUAACAAAAAAAUAAAACAGUUUAAAAUGUGGAGUGUGGAGUUUAA
rnacentral:lncRNA from 1 species